ACGUCAAGUCAUCAUGGCCCUUACGGCCUGGGCUACACACGCGCUACAAUGGUCGGUACAAAGGGUUGCCAAGCCGCGAGGUGGAGCUAAUCCCAUAAACCGAUCGUAGUCCGGAUCGCAGUCUGCAACUCGACUGCGUGAAGUCGGAAUCGCUAGUAAUCGUGAAUCAGAAUGUCACGGUGAAUACGUUCCCGGGCCUU
rnacentral:rRNA from 1 species